rnacentral:rRNA from 1 species
UACGUAGGGCGCAAGCGUUGUCCGGAAUUAUUGGGCGUAAAGAGCUCGUAGGCGGUUUGUCGCGUCUGCUGUGAAAACCUAAGGCUCAACCUUGGGCUUGCAGUGGGUACGGGCAGGCUAGAGUUCGGUAGGGGAGACUGGAAUUCCUGGUGUAGCGGUGAAAUGCGCAGAUAUCAGGAGGAACACCGGUGGCGAAGGCGGGUCUCUGGGCCGAUACUGACGCUGAGGAGCGAAAGCGUGGGGAGCGAACAGG